CCUACGGGCGGCAGCAGUGAGGAAUAUUGGUCAAUGGACGAGAGCCUGAACCAGCCAAGUAGCGUGAAGGAUGACUGCCCUAUGGGUUGUAAACUUCUUUUAUAAAGGAAUAAAACGAGGCACGUGUGCCUUUUUGCAUGUACUUUAUGAAUAAGGAUCGGCUAACUCCGUGCCAGUAGCCGCGGUAAUACGGAGGAUCCGAGCGUUAUCCGGAUUUAUUGGGUUUAAAGGGAGCGUAGAUGGGUUGUUAAGUCAGUUGUGAAAGUUUGCGGCUCAACCGUAAAAGUGCAAUUGAUACUGGCAGUCUUGAGUACAGUUGAGGUAGGCGGAAUUCGUGGUGUAGCGGUGAAAUGCUUAGAUAUCACGAAGAACCCCGAUUGCGAAGGCAGCUUACUAAGCCAUAACUGACACUGAAGCACGAAAGCGUGGGGAUCAAACAGGAUUAGAUACCCUAGUAGUC
rnacentral:rRNA from 1 species